GGGAAUUUCAGGGACGAGAGAAAAGGUCACUAGCAAAAACUUAAGCAGAGCCUAUUUGAUGACUGAAUCAAACACUCGAAGAUGAGAAAAGUUGACCUGAGAAGAUGAGGGGCAAGGCGUAGAAACAUAAGCCAAGGAGUUACGUGUUGUAAGCAGUUGGAAUGAUGGAAACCAACCAGGACCUCAUCUCUUGGCAUUGCUCUCAGAAGAGCGAGGUGCCACGCUGUGAGCCUGUUAUGGAGAGGCCUAUUUAGCGAGGAGCUGGCUCUGGCCAACACUGAUAAAGAAUCCACCUGCAAUGCUGGAGACCAGUAUGGAACCACGUAGAGAAGAUGCCACAGUCUGCCAAAACC
ensembl:lncRNA